rfam:Stegodyphus mimosarum contig19543, whole genome shotgun sequence.
GCCUUCAUGGUGUAAUGGCUAGCACACUCGGCUCGUAUUCGAAAGGUCCGAGGCUCGAUUCCCGGAGAGGGCA